CCUACGGGAGGCAGCAGUGAGGAAUAUUGGUCAAUGGCCGGAAGGCUGAACCAGCCAUGCCGCGUGAAGGUCAGUGCCCUAUGGGUUGUAAACUUCUUUUAUAAAGGAAUAAAACGAGGCACGUGUGCCUUUUUGCAUGUACUUUAUGAAUAAGGAUCGGCUAACUCCGUGCCAGCAGCCGCGGUAAUACGGGGGAUCCGAGCGUUAUCCGGAUUUAGUGGGUUUAAAGGGAGCGUAGAUGGGUUGUUAAGGCAGUUGUGAAAGUUUGCGGCUCAACCGUAAAAUUGCAAUUGAUACUGGCAGUCUUGAGUACAGUUGAGGUAGGCGGAAUUCGUGGUGUAGCGGUGAAAUGCGUAGAUAUCACGAAGAACCCCGAUUGCGAAGGCAGCUUACUAAACUGUGACUGACAUUGAUGCUCGAAAGUGUGGGUAUCAAACAGGAUUAGAUACCCUUGUAGUC
rnacentral:rRNA from 1 species